AGAACGAACGCUGGCGGCAGGCUUAACACAUGCAAGUCGAACGCCCCGCCAAGGGGAGGUGGCAGACGGGUGAGUAACGCGUGGGAAUCUACCUGGUUCUACGGAAUAACUGAGGGAAACUUCAGCUAAUACCGUAUACGCCCCAAGGGGGAAAGAUUUAUCGGUGCCAGAUGAGCCCGCGUUGGAUUAGCUAGUUGGUAGGGUAAUGGCCUACCAAGGCGACGAUCCAUAGCUGGUCUGAGAGGAUGAUCAGCCACACUGGGACUGAGACACGGCCCAGACUCCUACGGGAGGCAGCAGUGGGGAAUAUUGGACAAUGGGCGAAAGCCUGAUCCAGCCAUGCCGCGUGAGUGAUGAAGGCCUUAGGGUUGUAAAGCUCUUUCAGUGGGGAAGAUAAUGACGGUACCCACAGAAGAAGCCCCGGCUAACUUCGUGCCAGCAGCCGC
rnacentral:rRNA from 1 species